rnacentral:lncRNA from 1 species
GAUCGGUAACAUUAGACACUCGGUACCAUAAGACCCUGUUGAAGUUUAGGAUCCUAUUCAAGACAGAGCCAAUAGGUGAAGCUGAGAAACUAAGGAGAGAGAAAAAGGACGAAAGUAAUUUGGUGGGCUGCCGUUUGGCAUUUUUCCCUUGCCGGUCCUCUUUAAUAAUCCGGGUUGGUGGUUGUUUGCCAAUUCAUAUUGAUAUGUUGUUUGUUGCAGUGGCAGGAGGAAGUGACAUGUUCAAGCCAACAAAGAGAAAGAUGUAGUCUUAGCAGCCGAAGUUG